rnacentral:snRNA from 1 species
UGGCUUUGGCAGUCCAUAGACUAAAACUGGAAUGAUACAGGAAGAUUAGUAUGACCCUGGGCUAGGGUGACAUGCACAUUCAUGAAGUGUUCCAUAUUUUG